ACCAGGAUGGCCGAGUGGUUAAGGCGCUACACUCAAGAUGCCAUGGACGUGAGUCCUCGUGGGUUCAAAUCCCACUCCUGGUA